GGUUAAGCGACUAAGCGUACACGGUGGAUGCCCUGGCAGUCAGAGGCGAUGAAGGACGUGCUAAUCUGCGAAAAGCGUCGGUAAGGUGAUAUGAACCGUUAUAGCCGGCGAUGUCCGAAUGGGGAAACCCAGUGUGAUUCGUCACACUAUCGUUAACUGAAUACAUAGGUUAACGAGGCGAACCGGGGGAACUGAAACAUCUAAGUACCCCGAGGAAAAGAAAUCAACCGAGAUUCCCCCAGUAGCGGCGAGCGAACGGGGAGCAGCCCAG
rnacentral:rRNA from 3 species